rnacentral:rRNA from 1 species
UACGGGAGGCAGCAGUAGGGAAUUUUCCGCAAUGGGCGCAAGCCUGACGGAGCAAUACCGCGUGAGGGAUGAAUGCCUAUGGGUUGUAAACCUCUUUUUUCAGGGAGGAACACAAUGACGUUACCUGAAGAAUAAGCAUCGGCUAACUCCGUG